rnacentral:rRNA from 1 species
CCUACGGGUGGCAGCAGUGAGGAAUAUUGGUCAAUGGACGAGAGUCUGAACCAGCCAAGUAGCGUGAAGGAUGACUGCCCUAUGGGUUGUAAACUUCUUUUAUAUGGGAAUAAAAUGUUCCACGUGUGGGAUUUUGUAUGUACCAUAUGAAUAAGGAUCGGCUAACUCCGUGCCAGCAGCCGCGGUAAUACGGAGGAUCCGAGCGUUAUCCGGAUUUAUUGGGUUUAAAGGGAGCGUAGGUGGAUUGUUAAGUCAGUUGUGAAAGUUUGCGGCUCAACCGUAAAAUUGCAGUUGAAACUGGCAGUCUUGAGUACAGUAGAGGUGGGCGGAAUUCGUGGUGUAGCGGUGAAAUGCUUAGAUAUCACGAAGAACUCCGAUUGCGAAGGCAGUUCACUGGACUGCAACUGACACUGAGGCUCGAAAGUGUGGGUAUCAAACAGGAUUUGAUACCCUAGUAGUC